GACAGCUCAGUCGGCAGAGCAUGAGACUCCUAAUCUCAGAGUUGUGGGUUUGAGCCCCACGUUGGGCA
rnacentral:tRNA from 1 species